GUUUCAGCCGCCGCGGUAAUACGUAGGGGCCGAGCGUUGUCCGGAGUUAUUGGGCGUAAAGCGCGCGCAGGCGGCCUCGCGCGCCCGACGUGAAAGCCCCCGGCUUAACCGGGGAGAGUCGUUGGGGACGGCGGGGCUUGAGGGCGGGAGAGGGUGGUGGAAUUCCCGGUGUAGUGGUGAAAUGCGUAGAGAUCGGGAGGAACACCCGUGGCGAAGGCGGCCACCUGGGCCGACCCUGACGCUGAGGCGCGAAGGCGUGGGGAGCGAACGGGAUUAGAUACCCCCGUAGUCC
rnacentral:rRNA from 1 species